rnacentral:rRNA from 1 species
CCUACGGGAGGCAGCAGUGGGGAAUUUUGGACAAUGGGCGCAAGCCUGAUCCAGCAAUGCCGCGUGCAGGAUGAAGGCCUUCGGGUUGUAAACUGCUUUUGUACGGAACGAAAAAGUCUGCCCUAAUACGGUGGGCCCAUGACGGUACCGUAAGAAUAAGCACCGGCUAACUACGUGCCAGCAGCCGCGGUAAUACGUAGGGUGCGAGCGUUAAUCGGAAUUACUGGGCGUAAAGCGUGCGCAGGCGGUUAUAUAAGACAGAUGUGAAAUCCCCGGGCUCAACCUGGGACCUGCAUUUGUGACUGUAUAGCUAGAGUACGGUAGGGGGGGAUGGAAUUCCGCGUGUAGCAGUGAAAUGCGUAGAUAUGCGGAGGAACACCGAUGGCGAAGGCAAUCCCCUGGACCUGUACUGACGCUCAUGCACGAAAGCGUGGGGAGCAAACAGGAUUAGAUACCCUGGUAGUCCACGCCCUAAACGAUGUCAACUGGUUGUUGGGUCUUCACUGACUCAGUAACGAAGCUAACGCGUGAAGUUGACCGCCUGGGGAGUACGGCCGCAAGGUUGAAACUUAAAGGAAUUGACGG